rnacentral:tRNA from 2 species
GGGCGUAUCGCCGUGGUGGGAGCGGACUUUUAAUCCGUGGGUUCAGGGUUCGAGCCCCUGGGGGCCUA